rnacentral:snRNA from 2 species
AUACAUUUCUCGGCCUUUUGGCUAAGAUCAAGUGUAGUAUCUGUUCUUAUCAAUUUAAUAUCUGAGAUGUGGCCCAAUGGGUCACUACAGUAUUAAAUUACUUUUUUGAGGGUGAGAGGCCAUUUCAAUAACUUGCUAUUGGGCUUCUCAAGUGUCACCUAUGUGUUGCACUAUUGCAUAGGUUGGUGCACCCCAC